GUGGGCCAGGCGAAGGUGCCACAGCGCGCGGCCCAGGCGCUGCUGCUGCAGCAGGAGCUGGCCCGGGGGCUCCCCGGCGCCGCCGUUUACAGGCGAGCGCAGGCCCAUGUUCUCGAAGUAGUGAGCCAGGAAGGCGAUCGGCUCCUCGGGCCGCGCCUCCAGCACCUUCAGCAGGGCCGCACGUAGCAUUUCCGUCACGCCGACCUGCCGCAGGAAGUCCUCCUCGCUCUCGGCCGCCCCCGCCGCCCGGGAUACCGACUGGCGGCCGCUGUCCGUGAAACCGGCCGGCGGUGGUACCGCUUGCCGCCGCUUCUCCACUGCCGCCAUCUUCGCUGAGGGCACCGGGACCGGAAGCACCGCCAUAUUCCACUGCGCGCUAGAGCCCCCCCCCCCCAAGGCGGCCAUCUUGAUUAAGGGCAGAGGGCACCGGUAUCCCGCUGGGAGACUUUGGGAAGUGACAAGGGCUUGCCUCUCCUGCCUCAGUCUCCGCAUCUGGAUGAAGGGCUUGGACCAGAAACUCUCCAAGCCCCUUCCCUGGACCACUCUGCUGGAGUUUCACUCUUGUCGCCCAGGCUGGAGUACAGUGGUGCUAUCUCGGCUCACUGCAACCUCCACCUCACGGGUUCAAGUGAUUCUACUGUGACGGCCUUCCAAGUAGGUGGGACCACAGGCAUGCGCCACCACGCCCGGCUAAUUUUUGUAUUUUUAGUAGAGACGAGGUUUUGCCAUGUUGGCCAGGCUGGUCUCAAACGCCUGACCUCAGGUGAUCCACCUGCCUCGGCCUCCCACAGUGCUGGGAUCACAGGCGUGAGCCAACGCUCCCGGCCUUGUUUUAUGUUUCAUACGAUUUAUUUU
rnacentral:antisense_RNA from 1 species